rnacentral:piRNA from 1 species
UGACCAAGUCCUGACCAAUGGGAGUGA